AACCUUAUGGACCUGCGGGCGUAUACCUGCGGAGGGAUCAUUACAGAGUGUUCUACCCCCCUUGUAAAAAAGGUUGGGUUUAACCUCCCGUCCUUUGCUGGACCCCCCCAAUUUUUUUGGGGUGGGGCCUUUCAAAAACUUUUUGCUUCGGUGGGGUUUUUUAUCCCACCGGAACAUCCUCAAAAAAAAUUCUUGGUCAAAAACCGUUCAGUCCGAGAAACUUUUUUGAAAAAUUAUUGA
rnacentral:misc_RNA from 1 species